ACAAUGGUCUUGUAAGCCAUAAAUGAAAACUAAUUUCUAAGGGUAU
rnacentral:tRNA from 1 species